rnacentral:rRNA from 1 species
GAUGAACGCUGGCGGCGCGCCUAACACAUGCAAGUCGAACGGCACCCCUCCUCGGAGGGAAGCGAGUGGCGAACGGCUGAGUAACACGUGGAGAACCUGCCCCCUCCCCCGGGAUAGCCGCCCGAAAGGACGGGUAAUACCGGAUACCCCGGGGUGCCGCAUGGCACCCCGGCUAAAGCCCCGACGGGAGGGGAUGGCUCCGCGGCCCAUCAGGUAGACGGCGGGGUGACGGCCCACCGUGCCGACAACGGGUAGCCGGGUUGAGAGACCGACCGGCCAGAUUGGGACUGAGACACGGCCCAGACUCCUACGGGAGGCAGCAGUGGGGAAUCUUGCGCAAUGGGGGGAACCCUGACGCAGCGACGCCGCGUGCGGGACGGAGGCCUUCGGGUCGUAAACCGCUUUCAGCAGGGAAGAGUCAAGACUGUACCGGCAGAAGAAGCCCCGGCUAACUACGU